GUGAGGAAUUUUCCGCAAUGGGCGAAAGCCUGACGGAGCAAUGCCGCGUGAAGGAUGAAGGCCUAUGGGUUGUAAACUUCUUUUCUCAGAAAAGAAUUAUGACGGUAUCUGAGGAAUAAGCAUCGGCUAACUCUGUGCCAGCAGCCGCGGUAAGACAGAGGAUGCAAGCGUUAUCCGGAAUGAUUGGGCGUAAAGCGUCUGUAGGUUGUUUAAAAAGUAUUCUGUCAAAGAUUAGGGCUUAACCCUAGAUAGGCAGAAUAAACUUUUAAGCUAGAGUUUGGUAGAGGCAGAGGGAAUUCCCGGUGGAGCAGUGAAAUGCGUAGAUAUCGGGAGGAACACCAAAGGCGAAGGCACUUUGCUGGGCCAAUACUAACACUGAGAGACGAAAGCGAGGGGAGCAAAUGGGAUUAGAAACCCUGGUAGUCC
rnacentral:rRNA from 1 species